rnacentral:tRNA from 1 species
GGGGCGGUAGCUCAUGGGUCGAGCAGCGGCGGUUUUACCGGCGAAGGCAGGCAGGUUCAACUCCUGUAUGCCCCACCA